AGAAUCAACGCUGGCGGCGUGCCUCAGACAUGCAAGUCGAACGAUUAAACUUUCCUUCGGGAAAGAUAUAAAGUGGCGCACGGGUGAGUAACACGUAAGUAAUCUACCUUUGAGUGGGGAAUAACCCGGGGAAACCCGAGCUAAUACCGCAUAAUGCAGCGGCACCGCAAGGUGACAGUUGUUAAAGGAGCAAUCCGCUUAAAAGAGGAGCUUGCGGCAGAUUAGCUAGUUGGUAAGGUAAUGGCUUACCAAAGGCUACGAUCUGUAACCGGUCUAAGAGGACGGUCGGUCACACUGACACUGAAUAACGGGUCAGACUCCUACGGGAGGCAGCAGUCGGGAAUUUGGGCAAUGGGCGAAAGCCUGACCAGCAACGCCGCGUGAAGGAUGAAGUAUUUCGGUAUGUAAACUUCGAAAGAAUGGAAGAAUACAAUGAGGUACCAAUUUAUAAAGUCCGGCUAAACUACGUGCCACAGCCGC
rnacentral:rRNA from 1 species